UUUUCUUCUCCUCCUCCUCCUCCUCCUCCUCUUCCACUCGGAACGGGCACGUGAGCUCGGCGCUCAGCCGGAACGAACCCGGGGCCGUCACGUGACGUCACAACUCCCGCGAGCUCCAGCGCUCAGCAGACAAGGAGAUUGAACAGGAACACAGGAGGAACAUAAGCGCUCUCCAUCGCACGUGUACACAGCACGCGGAGAAGCCUCCGGCCGUGUCGCUCUCUUCUACGCUAUUGGCCAACAGGAACGCCGUUUCCACCCCUCGUCUCCGCUGAUUGGCUGCCUCCGUGCAAAUCGACCCCGCCCCCUUUAAUCUCGCCAGUCACAGCCGCGUGAGACUACAUAGUUUGGACCUCAUGUUGGCAAAUGUGCAUGCGAAGUUUGUGCAAAAGUGUGUUCUUACACAUUUCAAAGAAAGGCUUAUGCCAAUAUGCAAUUUAUUUAAUUGAUUAUAUGUAUUGAUUAUAUAUAUAAAAAAAACAUUUUCA